AACAACAACGACGACGGAAACCGCAAAAGAAGAAGCACAGCAGCCGUGCUGCUCAAGUGUGCUUCGUCGUACUAUACGUCAUUAUUAUUAGUAAUAAAGUGCGCCGCCCCUACUUCUCACCGCUCGCCGACGACAAACAGACAAUUGAAAUGAGACCGUCACAGCGAGAGCUAUCAGGACGUUUUUAAAAUUUUAUUUAUGGAGCAGGCGCGAAAUAGAAAUCAAGCCGCGAAGAAGCAGAAGACGACAUGUGUCUAAUGCGCGCGAACCACGGAACAAGACAAACACCAAUCAAUAGACCGCAACAAAAGCACAAAGAAACAGCUUUAGCGUCCUCGAAAGGACACGCCGGCAGUAAGGGCGAUUUACAAGAAAGUUGUGGAACAUAGACUAACGCUGCCCGAUACAAGUCAUCGGCUACUCCCGCCGGAGUGGUCAGUGAGCCUGUGGUGUGCUAAGACCUAGUAAUUUGCAGUACGUAUGCGCAAUUGGUGAUCGUGGGUUCAAGUCACGGCUCAUGCAGCAACUGCGGGUGCGAUUUGGGUUCAUCGCUGACGCGUUAUAUUAAUCGACGUGUCCAGCAGCAGC
rnacentral:lncRNA from 1 species